UACGUAGGGUGCGAGCGUUGUCCGGAAUUACUGGGCGUAAAGCGCACGUAGGCGGCUUUGUAAGUUAGAGGUGAAAGCCUGGAGCUCAACUCCAGAACUGCCUUUAAGACUGCAUCGCUUGAAUCCAGGAGAGGUGAGUGGAAUUCCGAGUGUAGAGGUGAAAUUCGUAGAUAUUCGGAAGAACACCAGUGGCGAAGGCGGCUCACUGGACUGGUAUUGACGCUGAGGUGCGAAAGCGUGGGGAGCAAACAGG
rnacentral:rRNA from 1 species